CUCCUCCUUCUCUCUAGUUCCGGCCGCCAAGCCUCCUCCUCCCUCGUUCCCUCCUCCCAAUCUCCUCCUCCUUCUCUCUGCUUCUGGCCGCCAAGCCUCGCCGCCGGCCCGAGCCCGACCUGCAGCCGCACGCCUCGCCACCGCCGCCGGCCCGAGCCUGACCUACCGCCGCCAAGCCCCGCUGCCGCCUGCCCGCGCCCGACCUGCCGCCAUCCCGCGAGCCCCGCGCCUGGAGGAGCCGCCCUGCGGCGCUUUGAGGCUGCCCGCGCCCAGAUCCGGCCUGCGCCGACCCACCCGCCGCGGAUCCGUCCUCCCUCUCUCCCGCCGGUAAGUCUUCCUCUCUCCAUUCGCUCUCACGCUCUCUCUCUCUCUCUCUACUGCAGCCAUGGAGCUCGACCUCAGACCUCCCUCGGCCGCCAUGGAUCCCCAGGACG
rnacentral:lncRNA from 1 species